AUAGUAUAGCUACUUGGUCAUUUAGAGGAAGUAAAAGUCGUAACAAGGUUUCCGUAGGUGAACCUGCGGAAGGAUCAUUAAAGAUUUGCCAAAGCUCACGCUGCGGCUUUCUAUCCCACACCGUGAACCGUGGCUUCGGCCUCACACAUAGUGUAAUGGAAUGUAUAUAUCAUAACAAAAUAAAACUUUCAACAACGGAUCUCUUGGUUCUGGCAUCGAUGAAGAACGCAGCGAAAUGCGAUAAGUAAUGUGAAUUGCAGAAUUCAGUGAAUCAUCGAAUCUUUGAACGCACAUUGCGCCCCGUGGUAUUCCGCGGGGCAUGCCUGUUCGAGCGUCAGUACAACACUCAAGCUCUGCUUGGUAUUGGGGCCUCACCGGGUUCUGGUGGGCCUUAAAAUCAGUGGCGGUGCCAUUCGGCUUCAAGCGUAGUAAUUCUUCUCGCUUCUGGAGUUCCGGGUGUGUGCUUGGCCUAUUCAACCCCCAUUAUAUCAAAGGUUGACCUCGGAUCAGGUAGGGAUACCCGCUGU
rnacentral:rRNA from 1 species